rnacentral:rRNA from 1 species
GGUGAACGCUAGCAAUAUAUUUUAACACAUGCUAGUCGAAUGUAUCUUUUUUUAGAUGUCAUGGCGAACGGGUGAGUAAUACAUAAGAAGCUGCCUAAAAGUUUGGGAUAAAAUACCAAAUAUAUUGAAAGAUUAAUUUCGCUUUUAGAUGCGCUUAUGAAGGAUUAGGUAGUUGGUGGGGUAAAGGCUCACCAAGCCGAUGAUCCUUAGCUGGUCUGAGAGGACGGUCAGCCACACUGGGACUGAGAUAAGGCCCAGGCAUUAGCCAGCAGAGGGGAAUAUUGGACAAUGGGCGAAAGCUUGAUCCAGUAAUAUUGCAUGAAUGAGGAAGGUAUAAAAGACUGCUUCGGUAGUCGGCUGUAAAGUUCUUUCGCUAACGAGGAUAGUGACUGUAGUUAGAGAAGAAGCCCCGGCUAACUUCGUGCCAGCAGCCGCAGUAACAC